UACGUAGGGGGCAAGCGUUGUCCGGAAUUAUUGGGCGUAAAGCGCGCGCAGGCGGUCGUGUAAGUCUGAUGUGAAAGCCCACGGCUCAACCGUGGAGGGUCAUUGGAAACUGCAGGACUUGAGUGUAGGAGAGGAAAGUGGAAUUCCACGUGUAGCGGUGAAAUGCGUAGAUAUGUGGAGGAACACCAGUGGCGAAGGCGACUUUCUGGCCUACAACUGACGCUGAGGAGCGAAAGCAUGGGGAGCGAACAGG
rnacentral:rRNA from 1 species